GUAGAGAAAUGCUACCUGGGUUCAUUUCUCAAGAGAGUGGCUUAGGAUGACAGACCCUGUCCAUCAGUAGCACCUUUAGUGACCUGUAAGAUGAGAUGAGUGAGACUGAAAGAAAUACCUGAGCUAGUGAGCUGAGCUUUCCUAAAUACACACUAAAACAGUCAUGUUAUGCCAAAAGGGAGUGAAUAGAAGUUGAUAACAUUAAAUGCGCAGACCGAUAGAAAAUUUACUUUGUAUGGCAGAGAUAUGUCUGUCCCCUAACAGACACACUCUAAAUUCCACUGACUUCCCUCUUCCUCAUACUGCCUCCUAGUAUUUGGCACCAGAGCUUUGUCACUCACAGAUGUUGCCUUGGGACACACAGGAGUGACCUGACUGGGUGAUAAGUGGUUUAGCUAGAAACUUUACCUUUCAUCCCAAACACAGCUCUUAACUGUUCCGAGAGCUCCACUGUCUCCUUAUCCCCUGGCUUCCCCAGCUUCUUACAAGAAAUAGAGAUGCUAACGGCACUGUCAUCACUGAAUUGGUCCUAAACCAGAGGAAUGCAAUACAAAAUGCUAUUGACGCUGUUGAAAUAGCAGGGUCUUAAGACACUGUAAAAGUACUCUACGAUAGCUCUAUCCUGCAGUGGAUAUAGGAUUCUAGUCUUUACUC
rnacentral:lncRNA from 1 species